rnacentral:rRNA from 1 species
ACGAACGCUGGCGGCGUGCUUAACACAUGCCAGUCGCACGGAAAGGCCCUGCUUUUGUGGGGUGCUCGAGUGGCGAACGGGUGAGUAACACGUGAGUAACCUGCCCUUGACUUUGGGAUAACUUCAGGAAACUGGGGCUAAUACCGGGUAGGAGCUCCUGCUGCAUGGUGGGGGUUGGAAAGUUUCGGCGGUUGGGGAUGGACUCGCGGCUUAUCAGCUUGUUGGUGGGGUAGUGGCUUACCAAGGCUUUGACGGGUAGCCGGCCUGAGAGGGUGACCGGCCACAUUGGGACUGAGAUACGGCCCAGACUCCUACGGGAGGCAGCAGUGGGGAAUAUUGCACAAUGGGCGGAAGCCUGAUGCAGCAACGCCGCGUGCGGGAUGACGGCCUUCGGGUUGUAAACCGCUUUCGCCUGUGACGAAGCGUGAGUGACGGUAAUGGGUAAAGAAGCACCGGCUAACUACGUG